rnacentral:sRNA from 1 species
UGAAUCAUAAAAUGCUGCAUGCACAUAA